rnacentral:rRNA from 1 species
AUUGAACGCUGGCGGCAGGCCUAACACAUGCAAGUCGAGCGGAGCGGCGGACGGGUGCGUAAGGCCUAGGAAUCUGCCUGGUAGUGGGGGAUAAGGUCCGGAAACGGGCGCUAAUACCGCAUCCUAUCAGAUGCGCCUAGGUCGGAUUAGCUAGUUGGUGGGGUAAAGGCCUACCAAGGCGACGAUCCGUAACUGGUCUGAGAGGAUGAUCAGUCACACUGGAACUGAGACACGGUCCAGACUCCUACGGGAGGCAGCAGUGGGGAAUAUUGGACAAUGGGCGAAAGCCUGAUGCAGCCAUGCCGCGUGUGUGAAGAAGGCCUUCGGAUUGUAAAGUACUUUAAGUUGGGAGGCGUUACCAGCAGAAGAAGCACCGGCUAACUUCGUGCCAGCAGCCGCGGUAAUAC